UACGAAGGGGGCUAGCGUUGCUCGGAAUGACUGGGCGUAAAGGGCGCGUAGGCGGCUUGCACCGUCAGAUGUGAAAUUCCUGGGCUUAACCUGGGGGCUGCAUUUGAUACGUGUGGGCUUGAGUGCGGAAGAGGGUCGUGGAAUUCCCAGUGUAGAGGUGAAAUUCGUAGAUAUCGAGAGGAACACCUGCGGCGAAGGCGGGUAGCUGGGCCGACACUGACGCUGAGGCGCGAAAGCCAGGGGAGCGAACAGG
rnacentral:rRNA from 1 species